UGAAUCCAUUCCCAGCCUCACUGCCAGCUCCUGAGACAAAGCCCACGUCAUUCCUUCCCUAGAUUAAUCUCACCAGGAGUCUCAUGAUGGAUCCUCUGCCCCAGGCCAAAUUCCCUUGACAUCCAUCUCCACCUGACCGCCAGAAGUAUCUUUCCAAACAUGGGUCACCAUGCAUGUUUCAGCUUAAAAUCUGCCCAUGAGUCCUCUUUUCCACCAGUGCUGAAAUCAAGCUCCCCUAAAAUGAUUCACGAGGACAUCACACCAGGUGCCCCUCGGAACAGAUGCUCAGCCGAGACGGUUGUGUCGCAGACACCUGGGAGGAGAGGGACUGCAGGUUCCUCAACUCCCUGUGAAAAAAGCAUGCAGACUGUGGAGCUGCCACUUCCCAUGAUCUCAGAGACUUCAUAUGCAUCCAGAUUUGAAAAAUAUCAUUUAUUUAUUCAACGGUAUUCAUCUAUUUUCUUGGCCCUUUCAAGAGAAACUUUAAGUGUCUGCCCUGACGUCUUUUCCUCACCUCCUGACAAAUAA
rnacentral:lncRNA from 1 species